CAGUGAAGUGAUGAACAUUGUUUCCCUAUUGGUUUGAUUUGCCACUAUGAUGGCUUCUAUUGCUUCAAACUUUCUUAUUACUG
rfam:Marchantia polymorpha subsp. polymorpha scaffold2865, whole genome shotgun sequence.